rnacentral:tRNA from 1 species
UCUAAUAUGGCAGAUUAGUGCAAUAAAUUUAAGCUUUAUUUAUGUAAAAUGAAUAUUUACUGUUAGAA